ACGAAGGUGGCAAGCGUUGUUCGGAUUUACUGGGCGUACAGGGAGCGUAGGCGGUUGGGUAAGCCCUUCGUGAAAUCUCCGGGCCUAACCCGGAAAGUGCGGAGGGGACUGCUCGGCUAGAGGAUGGGAGAGGAGCGCGGAAUUCCCGGUGUAGCGGUGAAAUGCGUAGAGAUCGGGAGGAAGGCCGGUGGCGAAGGCGGCGCUCUGGAACAUUUCUGACGCUGAGGCUCGAAAGCGUGGGGAGCAAACAGGA
rnacentral:rRNA from 1 species